ensembl:lncRNA
GAAGAAAUGCUCAUUAACAGGGCUGUAAACACAUUUGUGCUCAAUAUUUGAGAGAAAUGAGCUUUUUGUGCGCAUGAAACAUUUCUGGGACCUUUUAUUUAUUUUAUAAACACUUUACAUGUCACGUUGAUAUUUUCAGUAUAAAUGGAAUUCAAAUAAUUGAACCGAUGUCAUCAAUUAGUUGUUUAAAAACUGCAAAGAUUACUGUGAUCUCAGUUAAUGCUCAGCACUCGCAGACAGGCAGUCAGACAGACAGACGGUCACCAUAGCAGUCAGACAGGCAGUCAGACAGACAGACGGUCACCAUAGCAGUCAGACAGACGGUCACCAUAGCAGUCAGACAGACAGUCAGACAGACAGACGGUCACCAUAGCAGUCAGACAGACAGUCAGACAGACAGACGGUCACCAUAGCAGUCAGACAGACAGACGGUCACCAUAGCAGUCAGACAGACAGACAGACGGUCACCAUAGCAGUCAGACAGACAGACAGUCACCAUAGCAGUCAGACAGACAGACAGUCACCAUAACGGUCACCAUAGCAGACAGACAGACGGUCACCAUAGCAGUCAGACAGACGGUCACCAUAGUAGUCAGACAGACAGUCAGUCACCAUAGCAGUCAGACAGACAGUCAGACAGGCAGGCAGACAGACGGUCACCAUAGCAGUCAGACAGACAGUCACCAUAGCAGUCAGACAGUCAGACAGGCAGGCAGACAGACGGUCACCAUAGCAGUCAGACAGACAGUCAGACAGACAGUCACCAUAGCAGUCAGACAGACAGGCAGACAGACGGUCACCAUAGCAGUCAGACAGACAGUCAGACAGACAGUCCCCAUAGCAGUCAGACAGAAAGAGACAGUCAGACAGACAGACAGUCAGACAGACGGUCACCAUAGCAGUCAGACAGACAGUCACAGACAGACAGACGGUCACCAUAGCAGUCAGACAGACAGACAGACGGUCACCAUAGCAGUCAGACAGACAGUCAGACAGACAAUCAGUCAGACAGACAGUCAGACAGACGGUCACCAUAGCAGUCAGACAGACAGUCAGACAGACAGUCAGUCAGACAGACGGUCACCAUAGCAGUCAGUCAGACAGUCAGACAGACAGUCAGACAGACAGACAGUCAGACAGACGGUCACCAUAGCAGUCAGUCAGACAGACAGUCAGACAGACAGUCAGACAGACAGUCAGACAGACGGUCACCAUAGCAGUCAGUCAGACAGACAGUCAGACAGACAGUCAGACAGACAGUCAGACAGACGGUCACCAUAGCAGUCAGUCAGACAGACAGUCAGACAGACAGUCAGACAGACGGUCACCAUAGCAGUCAGUCAGACAGACAGUCAGACAGACAGUCAGAUGGGUAAGCAAUAACAAUAAACAAAUUCAGGUAGAAACACACCAACACGAUAAAUGGUGUUUCCCUUCCUGUACAAAUCACCUGGGAAGGCAGAACGUUAAGGUUUCUUACUUCCUGUACAAAUCACCUGGGAAGGCAGAACGUUAAGGUUUCUUACUUCCUGUACAAAUCACCUGGGAAGGCAGAACGUUAAGGUUUCUUACUUCCUGUACAAAUCACCUGGGAAGGCAGAA